rnacentral:lncRNA from 10 species
GCUGGGAGCCAUAGACCUCGAAGCUGGGGCGUCUGACACCUGAGGCCCGAAGUAGGUGGCCAGCUUCUUAGAGGGCCAACCCAGGGCAUUAACACACCAGUGGCCGCAGUUGUAUUAUCUUGUGCAUUUGUCAAGAGAGGUCAUCCGAACGCUGAGAUAAAGGCUUGGGAUUCCAUUGUCUCAUCUCUUUCUGGGAGUGAUUUUCCUCUCAUCUGGAAGUGCAGAGACAGAGUCUUCAUAGGGAACUGAGAUUACCUCCAAAAAACAUUUGUGAAGUGAGCAAUUCCUAGAAGGCUGUUAAUGUUGAUUAAUGAAAUUAUACAAAAAGAAUCAUAAGAUAGCUGGAGAAGAAAAUUAUCUGUGAUGCCUGGAAAAGAUACGUCCCAGUGGGAGGUAAGUACAGAAUCCUGAGUUCUGAGAUGUGAGGAAUUCAGUUGAGGUAAUGGUUCUACUAUAAUUGUGGCUACCAUUAAAUUUUUGUUUCUUCAAAUUAUGAUUUAUUUCUCUUCCUGAUAACAUUGAACAAUCAUAAAUGUGGAGGGAAAGGAAUCAUUGAGGGUUGAUUUAGAGAGAGUAAACAGGUGUAAAGCCAUGGUUCCUGUGUGUUUUAACAAAUACUAACUGAGCACCCGCCCUGUUGCAGAUGCAUUUCUAGAUGUGUGAACAAAGAAAUUUAUCUACCUUAAUUUGAAUUGAGAGAAGCAGACAAUAAAUAAUAAAGGAAAUGUUAUAAGUUACAUAGUGACUUAUAAGGUGUUAUAAGUUAUGUAACCUAUGUUACAUAUAUGUAACUUAUGCUAUAAGUUAUGUUAUAAGUUAUGUUAUAUACAAUAUAACAUAACAAGUUAUGUUAUAUAUGUUAUGUUAUAACUUAUGUUGACAGUCCUCAGAAGGUCUCCCUCUCCCUCUCCCGUCUCCCUCUCCCUCUCUUUCCACGGUCUCCCUCUGAUGCCGAGCCGAAGCUGGACUGUACUGCUGCCAUCUCGGCUCACUGCAACCUCCCUGCCUGAUUCUCCUGCCUCAGCCUGCCGAGUGCCUGCGAUUGCAGGUGCGUGCCGCCAUGCCUGACUGGUUUUCGUAUUUUUUUGGUGGAGACGGGGUUUCGCUGUGUUGGCUGGGCUGGUCUCCAGCUCCUAACCGCGAGUGAUCCGCCAGCCUCGGCCUCCCGAGGUGCCGGGAUUGCAGACGGAGUCUCGUUCACUCAGUGCUCAAUGGUGCCCAGGCUGGAGUGCAGUGGCGUGAUCUCGGCUCGCUACAACCUCCACCUCCCAGCCACCUGCCUUGGCCUCCCAAAGUGCCGAGAUUGCAGCCUCUGCCCGGCCGCCACCCCGUCUGGGAAGUGAGGAGCGUCUCUGCCUGGCCGCCCAUCGUCUGGGAUGUGAGGAGCCCCUCUGCCCGGCCGCCCAUCAUCUGGGAUGUGAGGAGCCCCUCUGCCCGGCUGCCCAGUCUGGAAAGUGAGGAGCGUCUCUGCCCGGCCGCCAUCCCAUCUAGGAAGUGAGGAGCGCCUCUUCCCGGCCGCCAUCCCAUCUAGGAAGUGAGGAGUGUCUCUGCCCGGCUGCCCAUCGUCUGAGAUGUGGGGAGCGCCUCUGCCCUGCCGCCCCGUCCGGGAUGUGAGGAGCGUCUCUGCCCGGCCGCCCCGUCUGAGAAGUGAGGAGACCCUCUGCCUGGCAACCGCCCCGUCUGAAAAGUGAGGAGCCCCUCCGCCCGGCAGCCGCCCCGUCUGAGAAGU